rnacentral:rRNA from 1 species
GACGAACGCUGGCGGCGUGCUUAACACAUGCAAGUCGAACGGUGAAUCUCCAGCUUGCUGGGGUGGAUCAGUGGCGACCGGGUGAGUAACACGUGAGCAACCUGCCCCUGACUCUGGAAUAAGCGCUGGACACGGCGUCUCAUACGGGAUACGAGAAGUGUCGGCAUGGUCACCUUCUGGUAAGUUUGUCGGUUGGGGAUGGGCUCGCGGCCUAUCGGCUUGUUGGUGAGGUAAUGGCUCACCAAGGCGACGACGGGUAGCCGGCCUGAGCGGGCGAGCGGCCACACUGGGACGGAGCCACGGCCCAGACUCCUACGGGAGGCAGCGGAGGAGAAUAGUGCACUAUGGGCGGAGGCCUGAUGUAGCGACGCCGCGUGGGGGAUGACGGGAUUCGGGUUGUAAACCUCUGUCAGCAGGGCAGAAGCGAAAGUGACGGUACCUGCAGAAGAAGCACCGGCUAACUACGUG